GUAAAUAUGGUAAAAUGAUAAAUGAGCAAGUUGGAUAGAUGGUGGCUAAUCUCUUGAAAAAGGGGUGAUGCCUAUGGUUAUAGUUGUUGCUCCUGGAAAGGAGUAGCAUGACAGAUUAUGAAAUGCUGAUGGUUGUAUUAACAAUCAUUGGGUUAGUAAUGAUAAGUCAAAACAGCCA
rnacentral:sRNA from 1 species